rnacentral:rRNA from 1 species
GACGAACGCUGGCGGCGUGCUUAACACAUGCAAGUCGAACGGUGAAGCGCCUUCCUUUUUGGUCGGUGUGGAUGAGUGGCGAACGGGUGAGUAACACGUGAGUAACCUGCUCCCUCUUUCUGGAUAACCGCAUGAAGGUGUGGCUAAUACGGGAUAUUCUGAGUCUGUUGCAUGAUGGGUCUGGGAAAGAUAUUGUUUCGGUGGGGGAUGGGCUCGCGCACUAUCAGCUUGUUGGUGGGGUGAUGGCCUACCAAGGCGGUGACGAGUAGCCGGCCUGGGAGGGUGGGCGGUCAUAGAGGGAAGGAGAGACCGAGAAGACUCCGACGGGAGGCAGCAGUGGAGAAUAUUGAACGAUGGGCGGAAGGAUGAUGCAGCGACGCCGCGUGAGGGAUGGAGGCCGUAGGGUUGUGAACUUCUUUCGGGAGUGAAGCAGGGCUGACGCGUGUGUGGGUGGGUUGACGGUAGCUGGAUAAGAAGCGCCGGCUAACUACGUG